AGUAUUGUUGUGUCAAUUCAUGGUUACUUUGCUUUAGUUGUAUUGAGCAUUCCAAGCCAAGAUUCACCCAGGACACUCAAAGCACUCCCAAACUGCAGGGGGCAUCCAUGCAACAAAAGUUGGUGGAACCAACCUUUGGGGAAGUAGCUUUUGGGACUAUAUUUGCCUGCGCACCCACAGAGAGAGCAUGGCAUUGAAAUGUUUGUGGAGAGUUCAAUUUGUUCUCUCAUUUAUUCCUGGAAAAGGAUAUUAUGAUUACAGCUCCUGAUCAUUUAAAGACGCAACUGGUAGGACAAUUUAUGAUUAACUGUGUUUGAAUAUGUUGAGUUUUAAAUGUUCAGGUUCUGCUUGGUUUGUAAUGUGCAAUUUAAAGGUUAUGAGGAUUUUGUUAUGUGAAUGUUGAACUUGACAGAAGUAACAUGUACAUGAGUUUAAUUAUGGGAAUGGUAUUUUCUUGUUAAAAUCCUAGGUUAAACUUAAUGAUCGUGUUUAGUUUGGUUUGAAGAUUCAAUAGCAUUCAUUUAUUAUUUCUGUGAGAUAGUGGUAUUGUGAUUUAUGUGUGACUGAUUCAUGAUGUAUAUGUAACUAAUUCAUGUUUGGUUUGUGUAUUUGAAAGGUUUUCAACCUAUAUCUACUGUUCCAUCACUGAUCUAUCAAAUCACCUUCAAGAAACUAUACAUAUUAUUCCAUCACUGGUCUAUCAAACCAUCUCAAAGAAAAUAAAGAAUCAAGAAGUGAACAGAUUGAGUUGUCCUUUGCGUUCUUCAGUGUGAAAAGCAGUUUUCAAGUUUGGGCUGAGCUGUAAUCAAUCAAAAAACAAACAGAACUUGACAGUUGAAAACCACCGUGGCAGUGAGAAUAAGGAUAAAAGGCCUGAAGUCAAGCUGUCAACGCAAAGGAAGAGUUAACUGGAAAAAAAAAGUAGCACCAUGGCAAAAGAAACUCUUGGGAAGACAGUCAAGCAACUGAAGCAAGAGCGGACCUUAGCAAAAUCAGCUUUCACCAAGCAAGCAAACUACCUGAGUAAAGCUGCAAAUGAGAUGAUUAAAGAUGAACUACAAGAGGAGUUCAGCAAACUUAGUUCCUUGGCAAGACACGUCAGUGAUGCAAAUGAGGACUAUAGGUCUGGACUACUGGCUGAAGCAGGGACUGAGGAGGAUGGAGAAGUCAAGCUCAAUAAGCACCAGCAGGCUGAACUUGAGCAGACAAUGGAAGAGUGUGACAUGAGACUGAGGGACAUCCGUGAGGCAGUCCAAGCCAACCUCUGGCCAAGAUAUGGUAAAGAGGACGUAGACUUUGCAUUUCAAGAAGCGGAAGAGGCCUGUGACAGAGCCCAAGCAAGCCCCGUCACUGCUAUCAAUAGAGAUGGCUAUGAACUGCUGCUGGAGAGAGCAAGGAGGCUAAUCCAUGUUGCAACUGUAAGCCUGAAAGAUUGGGAAAAAUGGAUCCCACAUAAUCAGACAGCAGACCUGAAAGGCAGAUUAAAAGACCUGAGAAUAUCCGGGAGCAACCUUGAGGCCAGAAGAGCAGAAUUCCUUACUGCACAAAGAAUUGCAGAAGACCAGCAGCCUCAACCAGCACCAGUUCCCCAACCAGUGGUGAGGAUAAAGCCAACCUGUCUACCUAAAUUCAUUGGGAUUAGGAGGAAUUUCCAUAGAUGGAAAAGAGACUGGGAGAGUCUGCAAAAGCAGGGAGAGCCAACUGGAUCAGUGGAAGUGAAGAAGUUCCAACUCCUUGACAGUGUGGACGAGAGGAUAUGUAGAGACCUGAGCUUGACAACAUACAACAGUGCUGAAGAUAUAUUUAGAGUACUUCAAAACAGAUAUGGAAACAAGCCAGUGAUUGCUUUGGAGAUAAUCGAGGACCUAGAGAGGAUCCCUCCUUUAAAGUCACACCAGCCAAGGAAGGUAAUUGACCUAAUUCAGGCUGUGGAAAAGGCCCUGAAUGACCUCACGGAACUCGAAAGUAUUGGAGCCAUAAAGAAUCCCCUUGUGAUCAGAUCCAUAGAGAGCAAGCUCCCAGAUAAUUUAAAGAGGGACUGGCUGGCAUUCAUGGUUAAUCCAAGGAAUGGAGUCACACCUGACAAUCACUUUGACAUCCUUCUAACAUUCUUGAAGACACAAGAGGACAUUCUAGAGAAACUAGACCAAUUGGGUGUAAGUGAAAAACCUGAAAAGAAAGCUAUGUAUCCAGAGAAGAGGUAUGCCUCCACAAAGUCCACAAGGAAAGGAGGAUGUGUUGUCUGUGGAGAUGAGAAACAUCGUGAUAAAAUCUUCUUUUGUAAGCAGUUUAAAGAACUAAAACCUGGUGAGAAACUGAAUGCUAUCGAAAGGUUGGGAGCAUGCAAGAGAUGCCUCAGAUGUCAUGUAGAGAGUGAUGAAUGUACAGACACUUACCUGUGCAGGAACAGGGACUGCAGAAGAGGAAGCUCUUCAGAUCACCACUUCUUUCUCUGUCUGAAAGGAGGAUUCAAGGGGAAGGAAUCUGUGAAAGUGGGAAAACCCAGCACCAGGAGGCAAACAUUCACAGAGGAGCAAGAGGAACUGAUGUCUGAGCUCACCCCGGACAUGGCAGAAAAAGUCAGGAGAGCCUUCACCAACAUGGCUGAAAAAUCAGACGGCACUGGAAGAAGCCUUCGUGGAGUGAUGGAUUCAAGCACACGUGAGUUGCCAGUUAUUCUGAUGCUUCUCGAAGUAACCACCAAUACAGGACAGAAAAUUGGAACUCUCAUCGACUUGGCGUCAGAUACCAACUACAUUACUCAUGUAGCUGCCAGGAGAUUAAACCUUCAGAGUGAAAAGAUCACACUUGUUGUCCAUGGAGUUGGAGGCAUGGCCAUGAAGGUAAAGACCAAAAGAUACGUACUCAAGGUACGAAUCAAGACUCCCAGAGGCACGGAGAGAGCUCAUGAGCUGAUCUGUUAUGGGUUGGAUGAAAUUGCAAAAGUUCACAGAGUGAUCAAAGCACAGCAACUCAAGAAGUUCUUUCCCGACACCAACCUAGAAGAUCUUCACAGACCAGCACAUGUUGAGCUUCUCAUAAGCCACCGUGAAGGAAGACUUGUUCCACAGAGAGUAAAGGUGGUAGGAGAUCUUGUCCUGUGGGAAGGCCCUUUAGGAAAGACCGUUGGCGGAGCACAUCCAGACCUCUGUGAAGUAGUAGGUAUGGCCCUGCACAAUUCUGAAACCCACUUCGCACGAUCAAUGAGAAUCACUGCAGUAAAGUAUAAAGAAAUUGCUGAGAUGCAAAAAUCUAGAGCUGAAACCAGAACCACUGUUAUUGGCAGGGAGUUCUUGGACUGGUGGAAGUGGGAUAGCAUUGGUGCAGCCUGUGAACCCAUGUGUGGAGGAUGCCGGUGUGGUAACUGUCAGCCAGGAGGCAAAGACAUGACUCUGAGUGAAGAGAAAGAGCUUGAGGUGAUCAGGCGAGGCCUCAGCUAUGUGAAGUCAGAUGCGCAUAGUCAGGAGCCUCACUGGGACACAAAAUAUCCCUGGAUUGAAGAUCCAAGUUCCCUGCUUAACAACAGAAGCGCAGUGGAAGCUACAUUUCUGAGGACGGAAAAACAGCUCAAGAAAGAACCAGAGUGGCAUACAGCAUACACAACUCAAGUCCAUGAGAUGGUGGAAAGGAGAGCAGCAAAGAAACUCAGUAGAGAGACCAUUGCUAACUGGAAAGGACCAGUGUGGUACGUCAGUCACUUGGUGGCGCCAAACCCACACUCUGUAACAACACCUGUCCGACUGGUAUGGAACAGCAGCCAGAAGUUUCGAGGGAUCAGCAUGAAUGACCUUCUCCUGAAAGGGCCUGAUGUACUUAAUCCCAUUCGAGCAGUGCUACUAAGGUUCAGAAAAGGAGCCCAUGCUGCCCUCGGCGACAUCAAAAAGAUGUACAAUUCUGUGUGGCUUGAAGAUCUGGAGAUGCACCUCCAUAGAUUUCUCUGGAGAAACAGUGGAGUUGAAGAAAUUGAGGAAUAUUGCAUCACCAGGGUCAACAUUGGUGAUCGACCAGCAGGAUGCAUCGCACAACUGGCCAUGAGAGAGACAGCAAGGCUGCCCAUGUUCACUCAUCUGAAGGAGGAACGGAGAGUUAUUGAGGAGGAUUCCUAUGUAGAUGACAUUCUGACAUCCCAUAAUGACCUGGAAAAGCUAAACGAAACCACCAAAAAAGUUGAAGAAAUUUUGAAGGCAGGUGGAUUCUUCCUUAAGCCGUGGGUCCGAUCAGGCCAAAGUGGGAGGCAGACGUCUACAUCAGUACAUCCAGCAUCGUCAGAUGGAGUCUUCAUUCUCCCCAACCAAAUAAGAGAAGGAGACAACAAAGCUCUUGGGGUUGGUUACCUAGUCGAACCAGAUAAACUGUACCUUAUGACCUCGAUAAACUUCUCAAAGAGGAAAAGGAAGAUGAGAAUGAGCAAAAAUCUCAUUGAGGAAGAGGUGAGAGGAAAAACUCCAAAUCCAUUGACUAGAAGACAACUGCUUAGCCAAGUAGCUAGUUUGUAUGACCCGAUAGGCCUUGCAACACCUGCCAAACAGAAAGGAGCCAUUCUGGUCAGGAAAGCAUUUCAAGAAGCUGGAGGCAAAACUCUAUCACGUGACACAUGGGACACACCUCUGUCUGAAAGACUUCGAGAAGAAGCCAUCCACCUGUUUGAGGAAUACACACGCCUCAACCAAAUUACCUUCCAUAGAAGCCUCACACCAGUCAGAAGGAUUGGAGAACCCUGGGGAAUAACUUUCUCAGAUGGUAGCGACCAGAGCUAUGGAGCUGUUGCAUACUUCAGGUGGGAGACCGAGCAAGGCAUUCUGGUCCGGCUUGUUGAGUCCAAAGCCAAGCUCACACCACUUGACCAAAAGGGAGAAGCAGUGAAGGCUGAGGUCUGUGGUGCUGUGUUUGCGGCGAGACUCAGAAAAUACAUUGAAAGGCACAGUCGAAUGCAAGUUGAGCGUUGGCUCCAUCUGCUGGACAGUCAAACUGUGCUAGGUGCAAUCCAAAGGGACAGUUAUGGGUACCAGACCUUUUUUGCCAACAGAGUGGGAGAGAUCCAGAAGUCCACAUCAGUUGAAGACUGGAGAUGGAUUCCAGGUGAGCAAAACGUUGCUGACCUCACAACAAGAGGUGCAACCCCAGAAGACCUGAAAGAGGAUUCUGUGUGGCAAAAUGGCCCAGAGUUUUUGAAACGACCUGUGGAGGAGUGGCCGACAAAGUCAGCUAGAGAUGUUGCUGCAGAAGCUAAAGAAGGUAUAAACAAGCUCCAAAGGAAAUGUUUUACAGCAGCACUGACCAGAGCACAGAUGAAAAGAAACCAACAUGCUCUACCUAUUACUACAAUGCCAAGAUCCCCAAUCUCUAAUGAAAAGAACGACGAUCUGCAAAGCAGCCCUUGUGGGAAAGGAGGGUAUCAAAUCCAAGUCAGGAGAUCACCUUCUGGUUCCUCAGUGAGGAAAAUCCUGGACAUAGGUAGGUUCAGUAGUUUAAGCAAGCUGAUAAGAACCAUUGCCUGGGUGUGGAGAGCUGCCACAAGAUGGAAGGAAAUGCUGGCCAAGACCUCAAUCACAAGCAAACCAAAUAGGAAGGAGAUUCCUUCAGCUCUUGAGAUCAAGUCCAGAGUGAAGGAAACAACACUUACCAUCAUGGAGUGUGAGGAUGCACUCAGGGAUCUCUUCCUUGCAGCUCAAAUGGAGGUAACCUUGCCAGACAUCACACUUAGCAGGCUUGCUGUGGUCAGGGAGGAAAGCACUGGACUUUUGCUCUGUGGAGGAAGAUUCCAAAUCUUUAAUGAAGAGAAAACUGCAGUACCAGUCUUGCCCUACACAUCAUGGGUAUCCACUCUUCUAGCUCAAGAAGCCCAUAAGGCAAAUCAUGAAGAAAUUGCAGGCACACUCCUCCGGAUGAGAAAGAAAGCAUGGGUGGUAAGAGGUCGGAAACUAGCUCAGAAGAUCGUUGAUAACUGUGUGACAUGCAGGAGACUUAAGGCUCGAAGAUGCCAACAGAUCAUGAGUGACCUUCCAUCAGAGCGAAUAACACCAGCCAAUCCAUUUGAGUACACGACAAUGGACUUAUUUGGACCUUACGAAGUGAAGGAUGAGGUGAGAAAGAAAGUGAAACUCAAAGUGUGGGGAAUCGUCUUCUGUUGUAUGGCGUCCAGAGCUAUGCACACCGACCUUGUUAGUGACCAGUCAGCUGAAGGCUUUCUUCUAGCCUACCAAAGAUUUACAGCACUGAGAGGACAUCCAAGGAAAUUGUGGUCGGAUCCUGGGAAGAACUUCGUCGGAGCCAGACCUGCCCUCAAAGAGCUCUACAUGUUUCUGAACCGACUGGAGAAAUCAAAGCUUGAAGAUGAAGUCUCCAAGCAUGGCACAGAAUGGAGCUGGAAGAUCAAUCCAGCAGACUCGCCUCACAGAAACGGGGCUGCUGAGGCUGCUGUCCGGAUUAUAAAGCGAGCUUUGCACAAUCUGGGGGGUGAUGGAGUCUUCACAUGGGGUGAGUUUCAAACUUUCCUUUAUAUGGCUUCCAACCUAGCAAAUGAACGACCUAUUGAUGCCAGGACUCAGAGCCGGGAGGACUGUGUAGAAUACAUUAGCCCAAAUUCGCUUCUGCUUGGAAGAACUGGACCCAGAGGAGAUCCAGGGACCUUUGAUUUUAAAAACUAUCCUUACAGAAGAUUGCGAAUCAUCCAAACAGAAGUUGACCGAUUCUGGAGGAAAUGGAGCCAGUUAGCUGGACCAAACCUGUUUGUCCGAACCAAGUGGCACACCAUUCACAGGAAUGUGGCAGUUGGAGAUGUCGUCUGGUUGGCUGACCAGAAUGCCUUGAGAGGUCAGUUCAGGCUUGCCAGGGUCAUUGACGUCAACACUGACAGGAAGGGAAUUGUGAGGGAUGUAUAUCUCCGAUCCUUCCCCAGCUACCCAGUCGCAACUGUGAAACCCGCUAAAAAGACACAAGAAUACUCAACCAAGAUACCUGCAACCGUUCUUCACAGAGAUGUCAGACGGAUAGUUGUCAUACUUCCAGCUGAAGAGCAGCAGUAGCAGCAGGAUCCAAAAUGGAGUAACUAGACCCGACACAUCACAGUUCUGGUGUGACCUCCUUGGGUUGAAGAACCAGGAGGUCAAGUGGGAGGUGUUGUGUCAAUUCAUGGUUACUUUGCUUUAGUUGUAUUGAGCAUUCCAAGCCAAGAUUCACCCAGGACACUCAAAGCACUCCCAAACUGCAGGGGGCAUCCAUGCAACAAAAGUUGGUGGAACCAACCUUUGGGGAAGUAGCUUUUGGGACUAUAUUUGCCUGCGCACCCACAGAGAGAGCAUGGCAUUGAAAUGUUUGUGGAGAGUUCAAUUUGUUCUCUCAUUUAUUCCUGGAAAAGGAUAUUAUGAUUACAGCUCCUGAUCAUUUAAAGACGCAACUGGUUUUCAACCUAUAUCUACUGUUCCAUCACUGAUCUAUCAAAUCACCUUCAAGAAACUAUACAUAUUAUUCCAUCACUGGUCUAUCAAACCAUCUCAAAGAAAAUAAAGAAUCAAGAAGUGAA